CACUUCUUGGUCACUGUAUGCCAUACUUGUAGCUAAAGGCCUGCUUCUAGACCCGUAUUGCUACACGCAGACUUGUUUCUCACCUGAGAAAUGGGCACGAUGAUUCUUCCAUGCCUCCUAGGGGCAUGCUGAAGAAAAACAUAUUAAGUUAUCCUGACCUCCUAUCUUUAUGAUUAUUGUGUGUGGUCAGUGCACAUAAACUGGAUGGGUGCAUGUAGCAAAGCCACGUGAGAUGUUAAGGUGGUCUUCCUGGCUACGUGACAGCUCCUCAUUAACAAAUGCUCAGUGGUCACUUUGACUGGAGACUAGGGGCAGAGCCUGCAUUUCCCUGAUUGCCCAGGAGAGACCAUACCUCUUAAGAGCAGGGAAAUGUCUCCUCGGGGGCUGGUGUCCCAUGGGGAGCAGUCGGACUCCAUCCAGUGCAUCUAUGUAGCGGUCACUUGUAAUCAUUGCUAAUCUAAUGAGAGUAAUAGGAAGGCAUGGAGUCCAGCAGAGAUUUAUUGGUCUGAGGGGAUACCACUGACAGAGACAAAGCAAGGGACAAUGUUUCCCAGAAAUAAAUGCUGACAUUUAUGGAAACAUAGAGUAUACGUCCACAUCUAUUUUGAGUGUUUGCGUGAGAGCUACCUGGUAAGCCUCCAUUAUGGGUAUAUUUCCUAAAGGGUAAUAAGUUUUUCUCUUAAGCUAAUAUUCUAAAGGGAUGGAUUAAAUUAAAGGUUCAUUUAAAAACUAUUUCUUUUCUCCUGGAAGGUGAAUAAUAGUUUUCACUUGCACUGCUGCAGCCCUUCAUAACAUGUUUUAUUUGCAUAUAUGAUUUGGUUAGCUGGCGUUACUUCAAACUUCAUAUUAUUCAUUUUUGGUGGUUAAAGAACAAUCUGGGCCCUGAUCCUUUACAUUAAUCUCAUAAAUUAAUCACACUGGAUAAAAUCUUGUCUUCACUGAUGUUGACAGCAAAACUGCCAUGGAUGUCAUCUGGGUCAGUGUUUCACCUGCUCCUCGUGUGCUUAAAUGCACACCUGAGUCCCUGUUUCACUGACAUGCUGUGUGCUAGGGCUCUCCGUGGGUUCAGCCAGCAACUCCUGCCCUCCAAUAGAGAUGUGAAGACCUCAGGAGAUAGACUGUUGAAAAAUCAAAGUCCUAUUGCAAAAAUACUGAGCUGUUUUUCACCUUCCAGGAGCUGAACAGGUUAAAGGAGUGAAAUCCAGGCUGCCCACACCACUUGCACGUAAUGGUUACUCAGGGAUGGAAGCUGGGCUGAGUCCUUCCCAAAGGUUGUGCGUGAAGGGCAGCGACUGCAUCCGAGUGGCAGGAGUCUCCGUGCUCAAAGCAGAGAUCAUCUUCCCAGCACCACCUGGCUACUCUGCAAAUUAAUCUUUGGACGCCUGAAGAUGGGCACCCAGAAAAUGAGGCAUGCAGGCUGAAGAGGGGAGGUUGCCAAUCCCUUAUAAAAACAAGAACAGUGACAUGAACUGCCUUCAGUUCUUGUAAAGAUAAAUAAAAGAGAAGAAAUGCAAAGAAGCGGCGAUCUGAUGGUUGCUUUAGUUCCCUGAAAUUCCUAUGGCGGAACAUUUGGGAGAAGGAGAGACUUGCUAUUAGUCAACUGUAUUGAUUUCUGCCACUAAGGAAAGCGGGAGAAAAAAAUAUUUACUGUGCUAAACCGCUGGAGCUUUCAACCAGUUCAUAUUGAAAAUUGUCUCAUAUGGACUUCCCUCCGUGGCUUUUCCUCUGCGGAAGGCAAGACUGGAAGAGGCAUCAACGCAGAACAAUGAGAGGCAGUUCCUGUGUGCCCGCCGGCCUCUGCAAGGGAAACGCACGCUCUGCCGGAGGAGCUGCCUCCUCCUUGCCGUGAGCAACGGGUCACGAAGAUGUUUGCAGAAUCACGGCAGAUCAACAUUGCAGGGAUGCUCUUACUGCAGGAAGACAGAAAAUAAAAUUACUGCAUGGGCCUUUGGAAGACACCUGAGUUAUCUUGAUGGUGGGCACAUUUCUCAACUGCAACCCUCUAGACACAAGAUUUUGGUCAAACUUGCAGCUGAGCUGACAGAGGAGCCCUGGAGAGCCCCUUGGUGCCCCUGCCUUGGAUUGACUGGAGCGCUUUGGAUGGUUUCCUCUUGAAAAGAUCUGCAGAAGUAUGUACUUGGAUCACUGAAAAAGUGCAGUUCUCAAGGAUGCUGACCAACUCAUUAUUCUUUGUUCUGAUCCAGCUGAAAGAUUUUCAGCCUACGGUUCAUUUCCAAACAAACAAAACCAAAAAAGCCUGAACAGAGUUGAGUCUAGAGUCUAAGUCCAAGUUAAUGAAGCUGCCUCAAAGUCAAGGAGGGAGAGAAUAAACCACAGCUCUGAGGCACAGACCACUGGAGAUUCCUCUUUCAAAACCUGCCUGUGCUGCUCACUGGAGUUAUUCGAUUUGGGAACAAGAUAAGAAUUCACAGCAUCUGAUUUGUAGAAAUAACCCAGAGGAGGGAAAAACAGCCAGAAAUACUAAUUUCAGAUAUCAUUUUCAUCUGUCAGUUUCCUAAUAGUCUUUCUGAGCACUAAUAGCAUUAACCAAAUAUAAGGCUCAGACUUUGGGGAGGUUGUGCACUGACUGACAAAUGCAUUUCCAAAUAGCCCACAGUUCAGCAGUUCUUAUUCUGUCAAUACUGCAUGACCAGGGAAGGUUUGGAGCAUAAUUCUCUCCCAGUUAUUCAUCUUUUCUCUUUCUCUUUUUUUUUCCCCUGAGUAAGAAAUACACCUGGCAAUUCAUUGCUGAUUUCCCAGGAGUGUUAUUCAUGCCAGUUUAUUUAUGUAUUUAUUAUUCAAGUGCAAACUUACGAAGUUCUUUGUGGUAAUCUGCAAAUCAAACUGAUGAAGGCAGAAGGCUGGCCUUUAAAGCAAGUGCUAUAGAGGCAAAGGCAGGCAUUUUGGCUGCCAUUGUGCUGUGGCGCGGGAUUGUGAGGAGCAAUUAGGGGGUUGGACCCGAUGAUCUUUCGAAGCCCCUUCCAACCCCUACAAUUCUGUGAUUCUGUGAAUUCAUCCUGCCUGAGACCCAGGCCCAGGCCCUGGCUAGAGUUGCUAGACACAUGUAGUCACCAUGCUUAAAUUAAGCAAGCUCUCUGCUAUAAGAGCUUAGUUUUGGCAAAGCAACAACUGCUGCUGUUGAAUGCAUAGGUGUCAUCUUCAUUUUUGAGUGCUGGUAAUGUAUCGUUUGCAAGAAAUGGGAAUAUAUUUAUGCCUAACUCCUUCACUCACUCAGAAUUUGGGCUUCAGAUUUAAUAAAAUUAAAGUCAAGGUGCAGUGUGCAGGGGCAGGGCCUUUUAUCCACGGCAUCCUUGCCCUGGGGUGAUGGUGCAACCAGGAAUUUUGGUGCAGACUUUGAUGGUGACCCCUUACAACUGAAGAGGACAACCCGAGGAAGGUUUGUGAGAAACAAAGACUGGGUGGCCUGGAUGCGUAUCCUGUCUUACCAGCAAAUCCAGUGUUCAAGAUUGUUUGCAUAACCAAUUCCAGCUUUGGCUCACUUCUGUUCUGAAUAAGCAGUUAAGCAGUUUGGAUAUUUUUCAGUUCCCCGUGGGCUGGCAGAGGAAAGAUAAGCAACACAGAGAGAGGACUGAGCGAUGUGAUCUGUUUAACUUCUGUUAGCCUAUAUGGAUGCACCUCCCUAAAGGUGGUAAAGUGAAGCCAGAUUCAUUCUCAUUGCUGACCAGCGUGCCAGGCAGAAAACCUUUGGAGUACUCCUUUCAUGGGGAGAAAAUGUUCAGUUCUUCAAGCACCCAACCCGUCUGCUGCCUUCUUUACCCUUCAAAAUAUCUGCAGAAGUUUUGAGUAGAUUAGAAACAGAUUAGAGCUGUCACCUGAAAACUGAGAGCACUCUGAACCUUGUGUGGGUUCCAGCUUGAGGGGGCCUGCAGCUGAUACAGGAGGGACUGGGGUGACAUCCAAGCAUUUCAAACCUCCCCAGACCCCCUGCUAUACUCUGCGAGUGGGUGCUAAUGCUCUGCUGCACUGCAGACUCUCCCUACAGAAGUCCCCAAAUGUAUAGUUAGCACCCAAAAUCACACCAGCUAGUGCAUCUGACUUCCAUCAGCAGGUUUGUGGCCAUGAUUUAUUUAUUUUUCUUCCAUCUGCAUGUGAUUUUAGAACAUGACAGAAGCCUGAAAUGGAGACAAACAACCUUCAGAUUCAUUUUCUCUCACACUCAUGGACACAUGCAAGCUUAUAUAAAAAAUAAUUGACCACAGUGGAAAGGUACAGUGUUAAUCCUUUUAAAAAGGCAGAUAUUUGGUUAAUGCCAGCACUUCAGAGGCCCAGACGAGAGUGCAUCCCCCUGAUGAAAGUAGCCUCCAAGCACAAGGUACGAGACGGCUCCUGCCCCCAGGAAUUUGCUGUCUCCACUCUUAACCCGCAUGAAAGGAGUGUAUUAUGCCUGUAGAAUGCACAGGGCUGACCAGGAAACUGAGAGUAGACCCAGGAUCUCCAUCCUGAUACCCUGCAUGGAUGGUGAAAUUUUCCAUUUCUGUUCUCAUAAAUUGAAAGAACAAAGCUUCUGCAAUCAAGGACCUGCUACUUCUGGUACUCUUGGAAGAAAAAAGCAGGAUUUCUACCUAGGACUUGUUUACUUUGUGCCUGAGCUGUUCCCAAGCUUGAUUUCUUCUUCGGUGUUCUUUCUUUCUCUCUCUCUCUCUUUUUUUUUUUCUUUCUUUUUUUUUUUUUUUUUUAACCUCGAAAAUCUGUUUGCACCAUGAGAGCCUGUUGACUUAACAGAAAUUUCUCCAGAAGCUGAAAGAAACUCUGAAAACAAUGUGAAGUGAAACUCCCACCGACUGCAAUGGGCAAUUUUAGAAAUGUUGAUGAAGAAACAGUUUCACCUUCUAUCUGAGGAUGAAGAGUCACAAACUCCCCAAAUUCAGUUCUGGUCACAGAGCUGGUGCUCAGCCUAAGAGAAGAGUUGCCAAUGACUCAACGUGAGUUGAAAAGAUGGAGCUUCAUCAGCUGGAACUACAUCAGUGGAAACAACCUUGCUUUUCCAAAGGUGGUCUGAUGUUCAAACACUAACUCCAAUCCACUGCAUCUUGCAAAACUUCACAAGGUCAUUCUGAGGAGCAGAAAGGCUUUAAAUGAAUCCUGCACAGAAUUUUGUGGAAGUGACCACCAUCUUCAGAAUGUGCACAGAUGCAUAAGAUUGACGGAAGUGAGGCAACCUGUGAUUUGUCCUGGAGGUAUACUGAGAAAAAAAGACAGGAACACUGAACAGAAUUUCUACAGUAGCACUGCCAGCAUUACUUGAAGAUUUAGCAAUAUCAGGGAACUGUAUAAGGGAUGGCAGCUCAUCUUCUUCCGGAAGACAUCUUAAGAAUUUAUAUUGCAUUCUUUCAUUGAGGUACAUAUAACCAGAGGGAGAUGGCUACUUUCAAACUACAGAACCUAUAUUUGACUUCCAAGGUACAGCUUAUGUGCUUGCGCUGCUGAUCCCACAGUGCCAUGUUCAUAAGUCUUCUUUCGACUGCACUAUACAACUCCUCCGAAAGGCAUCAUGGCUGCAGUGUCAGGAUUGAAUUAAAACAUCAUAAAGAGGUGCUUCCCUGAGAACUAAUAAAAUCAAGUUCAGUGCAAGAAAAGUUCUACAUGAUCCCUUUGGCCUCCGAUGUUUUUCAAAAGAAAAAAAAAAGUUGCUUAUUCCUCACUUUUAAGCAAAUGAUCACUUGGACUGGAAUUUAUUUCAGAGCAUCGCUGUGAACAUUCUUGUUCAAGAGGCUCAAACCAUCCAAUAAGACUAUGAGGGUUUUUUACAGUCUUUCUUGAUCAGAGGAAAAAAGGGAAGAGAUACAGGAAUACAGUCCAUGGUGGAAAUGCCCAGCCACUGUUGAGAUGUUUUGAUACAGCCUGGUGGCUUUCAUGCCUCCAGUGUAAGAUGAACAACUGCAGACAUAAAACACUUUCAACAAUUUUCUGUCCAUUUCCUGAAAUGAAGGGAGGAAGGAAGGAAGGAAAAAGCCCUACAACAAAUUUUUCGGUGUUCUGCUAAUGACAUAUAUUACCUACUUAUAGUGGAUGCCUUGGAACUAAAUAGGCUACAAUUUAAUACCUGGAAAUACCCUCUCCGGAACAACUCUCUUCUAGGAAUACCAUAGAACAGGUCCCAGAAUCACAGAAUGGCUGAGAUUUGAAGAGAUCUCUGGAAGUCAUCUGGUCCAAAUCCCUUCUCAAGGAGGGCCACCUAGAACAGGCUGCCCAGGUCCAUGUCCAGGUGGCUUUUGAAGAUCUUCAAGAAGGAGACCACAGCCUCUCUGGGCAACCUGUGCCAGUGCUCCAUCAGCCACACAGUAAAGACGUGUUUCCUGAUGUUUGGAUGGAACGUCUUGUGUGCUAGUUUGUGCCCAUCGCCUCUUGUAAUUUAUAUAUUGGUAAAAUUUCAAGGUAUUAAGAGUGCUGGUAGUAAGAGAAACCAGACACCAUAGAAGUAUGGUUCUGUUCUCCAUUUAACCCACAGUAUCUUCAUUCUGGAAAACGUAAUUUCAAAAGAUGACAUUUUCACUUGAGCAACAUGGUUAGGAGUGGGCCUGAUUCUGCUUUAAGUUGGUGCAAUUUCAAGGAGAUAAUCCUGAUUUAUACUCAGGUAACCGAGAGGAAAAUCAGAUCCAUUAUAUCCAUAAGAGCAAUCAUAUAAUAAAAGAGCUGGAGUUUUAAACUGUCAUUACAGCCAAGACAAAUAGAUUUUCUUGUCACCCAUCCUCACAGCCUCUGACAGCUCAGAGCUCUGGUGGAUGGGUUUUUGAACUGGAAGAUGAUAGGAACAUGCUAUGAAAACACCACAGAGUGUCUUUUUGGCAUUUUACCUUUUCCUCUGGUCUUCGUUUUAUCAUCAUAAUCUAGAUAAGAAACAGCAGUGCACAGUAUGAGUAGCAUUUUGAUGUCAUGCAGGCUGCUGAAGAAGUGGAAGAUACAGCCUAGUUCAAGUGUCAGACAUGCAUCGGCAAGAUUAAUUUACAGCGAAGUCAGAAAUCUGAGUAGGUUUGAAUUACGCUCCUCCAUAGUACAAAAAAAGAUUGCACUAUGAAAAUUGAUGUGGCAUAGUGCAGAGGUGAAAGAAGAAAUUGGUUUCUUUUUACUUUAAGGAUAGCAUCGGAGUCUAGUAUUAAACCAAGCUAGUAUGAUUACCUAAUACUGGCAUUAGAAGACAAAAAAUAUUCAUCUUCUUCUGGUCAUGCCAAAUUCCCCUUUUCUUUAAUUGCUCUGGGGAAAUAUGGAUUUACACCUGAACCAAUAAAAGCAGGAUGAACUUCUUUUCAACACGUAAGAAGAGAAGAGACACAGACCACUCUGCAAAGCAGAAGGAAAAAUUGCAAAGUAAUUUUCACCAGCAAAACACAUUUUACCCUCCAGUAUGAAGCAAUGGGGAACAGCAAUCAAAAUUGAUUGUUCCAGUUAAAAGUCUGCAUCAUGAUGUUACCGAAAAAGUAGCAUGAUGAGCUCAGCUUUUCUGACAACGUGUCGCAGUAAAUAUAGACAGGAGCCUGUUAAGAUUAAAGAGUUCUUUGGCACAUCAUACAUUUUCUUGAUUCACUGUGCAUCAUUAAGCUUUCUCUUUUUAUGAUGCUUUGUUUAUUUCAUGGACAAGCCAUUAAAUUCAAAUUACAUCUUGAAGGAAAUUUACUUCUUUUGGGUCCUUCUGUGGAAAGCUCUCAUUAUCUGUAUUUGUAUUUCUAAUGCAGAUGAAUGGGUCAGAUCUUAAUAGCAGGUCAGACAGGUGAGGUGGUUGUAGACAUCAAUAACACUACGCUUUUUUGCUUUAGCUGCUCAGCUUCUACUUUUUCUUUGCAGAAUCUCCAAAUAUUUAUGUAGAUAUGUAAAUCAGGGUAAUAAAAAUGAUAGAAAACCUUUUUUUUUUUUUUUUCCUCCAGCUCCUGUGCCAUAAUUUUAAUGUUUUAUUGCUGAUUACAGUGACGUUAAAUAGUCAGUAAAACAAGUAUAUCUGCAUCACACAGUAUGUAAACAGCAUUUCAGAUGGCUAAGAUGUUUCAAUUUUUUCAGUUGUAUGAUAUUCAAAAUUGUAUCUUUCUUUAGAAUCCCUUUACUUCUUUGGCUGCUCAAUGGUCAUGAAUUUUAUGAGUAAAAGGCUAGAGCUGUGUAAUCAAAUUUAUUAUACAGAAGUAGAAAGGCUUUACUUGCCAUUAAUUUGGAGAGAAAUUGUGUCACUAAGUCUCUCCUUUCAUUGAAAGAUAAUCAUUUUGUAACAUUUAAUAAAAUGCAAAGGUAAGUGCUCAA